ensembl:lncRNA
UCUUCCGGACCGAAACGCGCAGCCGCACUUCUCUGUUCCGGCAGGUGGAAUAGGCCCCCGACCUGGGAUCUCUACCCAAAAGGAGGAGGUUAGAACACAGGUGUCCUAUUCCGUUGAGUCCUCCAUCAUUUACUAGACAAAGCCGCGCAAUUAGAAUAACAAAAUGCAGUCGGGAGAAAUCGCUAACCUCUGUAAUCCCAGCAUUUUGAGAGGCUGAGGCUAGAGGAUCGCUUGAGUCCAGGAGUUCAAGCCUGCAGUGUGCUAUGAUCGGACCAUUGCACUUCAGCCUGGGCGACAGAGUGAGACCCUGUCUUUAAUAAUAAUAAUAAUAAUAAAUCCAAAACAUCAAGAAAUUGGGUGUGUCUUUUUAAAAUACACUUAGAAAGGGAACAGUUAGAAUCUUAAUUUCAGGGAUACUUUACUCCUAAACCUAUUCUUUUUGUUUAUGCAGAGAUUGACCAUGCCUACAGGGACAACUGGAAAACAGAAAUGAAACCAUAUAAGCCAAGCACUCAGGCAAUCUUUGUCCUCCCAGUUGACUUAAGAACGCUUGCGAAGAAAAUGUGGCCUCUUUAGAUCUCAGGUAAGGGAUCCGGCUGCUCUCUUUUUCCUGAUACACCUCCAUCCUGCAGGAUAGUUGGGAGUGAGGUGUGCUGAGAAGGAACAAGUUGUCCGCUUUAACUUGACAAGGCACGCGUCCCCCCUGCCUCCUCCUUGAAGUAUUCUAGUCGCUGGAAUAAAUGUUCAGGUGUUUUGGCUUUUGUCUCUUCCAGUUCCGCCCCUCUGUGCCUCUCCGGCAGAGGGCGCCUUUUCCACUGGGUCUCCCUGUGGUCUGCUGGGAGUUUUAUUCGGUUUGGACCGGGAAGGAGCUGUGUUGGAUCCGCGCCCCUUGCCAGGGCGCCGCCUUUGGCCCGAUCCCUUGUUUCCAACUGGUUCAAAUAAAUAGACAACUCUUCAUUCCUAUGGUACUUCUUGGAGAUAAACCACAUGCAUGUAUCAGAGAAAACAACUCUCAACCUGGUAAAUGAACAGGAAAAACUUGGAUUAGAAUUCUACUUCUUCAAGAUGGGGAGCAAAUUUCCAUAAUAUCACAUGGACAUACAGACCAAGUCAUGCUUGGUGCUAUCUACACAAUCAAGGCAGAGAACACAAAAACUUGGCCAUGAAUGUUCACAACACCAUUAUUGAUAAUAGUCAAAAAAUGGAAACAACCGAAAUGCCCACCAACUGAGGCAUGAAUAAACAAAAUGUGGUGCAUCUAUUCAAUGGAAUAUUAUUCAGCCAUUAAAAAGGAUAAAUUACUGAUACAUGCUACAACAUGGAUGAACUUCAAAAACACAUGCUAAGUGAAAGAAGCCAGCCAUCAAGGACCACAAAUUGUAUUAUUCAAUUUAUACGAAAUUCUAAAGUAGGCAAAUCUAUAAAGACAAAAUAGAUUAGUCAUUGCAUGGGGCUGGGGUUGGGAGAGGAGAAUGGGAGUGACUGCCAAUGAGCAAGAGGUUUCUGGUGAAAAUGUGGAGAAGAGGUUUGAAUAAUUAUCUGAGAUUAGAUUUGUUAUUUGGAAGCACCGUUACCUACUUAAUUUCCUUCACAAUUCAAAUUCACUGGAAAACUACUGUUGGCUGUACUUUUUUGAUAAUGUAAUUCCUGUAUUUCUAAACUGUUUUUAAGUUUUUUCUUAAUCUCUCCCUUUAAAAAAAAAAAUACUGAGACAGUUAAAAGUACAAUAGACUUUUGUAAAUUUUACUUUCAAAAGAAGAUAAUCAAAAGUGAUAUAAUUAUCACACUUGGCGUUAAAUUAUUGUUUUGAUCUUAAUAUUUUAUUCCCCAUUCAUUUGUUGUUGUUUUUUGUCUGUUCUAAUGCUAUAAUAACUUACCUCAACUUUAACAAAAUGAAACUUUGUUUUCAUGCUUUAUUAACCUGAAGCUAAUAAUUUUACCUUAGGUGUUAUCAAAAAUGACUUAUUUUUAGGAUAAGUUAACAUCUCAAGCAACAGUGUUAUGCUCUACC